AUUGAUUCGGCCGCUGAUUCGAGUUGACUCGACUCGACGGUUCGCGUUGUUCGCGACAAGGUCACGGGCCGCGGAGCCGCAAACUUGAGUUGAGACGGCGAGUCAAGCGGCAGUUGUUGUAAACAGAACCUUCAGGGCACCGAAUUAAGGUUUAUUUUUGAAUAGCCAUACUAGCAGUGAACUCGACUCGGGAUGGCGAAUCAAGCGGCAGUUGUUGUAAAAAGAACCUUCGGGCCACGGAAUUAAGGUUUAUUUUUGAAUGGUCAUAGUACCACGUUGACUCGGCUCGGAGAGUUGGCGAAUUGGCGAUUCAUUCGCCGAGUUAGCGGAUCGAAUACCAAGUUACCAGUUAGUUUAGUGGCCGAGUUGAUUAGAAUUGCCAAUAGUCUUGAUUCGAAUCCACUCAUCUGUAGGUUGAUUCGGAUUAUUCGAAUCAGAUAACUCGACUCGCCCAUCGCUAUUUUGAGUUAUUUCUUGUUAUCUCUUAUUCCUCGCGUUAUCCCGGCAUUUUGCCACGGCUCAUGGGAGCCUGGGGUCCGCUUGACAACUAAUCCCAAGAAUUGACGUAGGCACUAGUUUUUACUACGAAAGCUACUGCUAUCUGACCUUCCAACCCAGAGGGAAAACUAGGCCUUAUUGGGAUUAGUCCGGUUUCCUCAUCGAAAAGCGACUGGUAAAUGUCAAAUGAUAUUUCGUACAUAAGUUCCGAAAAACUCAUUGGUACGGGUUUGAACCCGCGACCUUCGGAUUGCAGGCCCCACGCUCUUACCGCUAGGCCACCAGCGCUUGAGUUAUUUCUUGUUAUCAGCGAAUUUUUAGUCACAAUUUGCCGCCCCUUAAUAUCUUCCCGCCCUAGGCCCGGGUCUACUUGGCCUUAGGGCAAAUUCACCACUGGUGAUGAACACACAAAUAAAUGCCCUUACCAGGAUUCGAACCUGUGACCUCCUGCUUCAUAGGCAGGGUCACUACCGACUAGGUUAGGAGGCCGUUUCAUUGAUAGAUUGAUAGAUUGAUAGAUCACAAUUUGUACCUAAUAAUAAAAAAAAAAAUACUAAUACUAAAUAUUUUCGAUAUUAAUUUCUUGGGGUUAGAUAUGAGGAUAUUGGGGAUAUUUAUUUGAGGUAUAUUUUACAAAAAAUAAUUCAACGGUUUCGUAUCUGGAGGAGCCUAAACUUGGUAUGUAUUAUUUUUAUUUUUAUUGAAUACAAGUGACGGAAACAAUAAUGUGAUAUAUUUUUAGAACCGGCUCAAAAUGCCCUUUCAUUUAAUAUCACACACGAUACGUUUCUGAUCAAAAAUUAUUUUUUCCAUACAAAAAAAAGAUGACGUCAUAACUCCUCUCCUUUUUUUCUUCUCUUUUGGUGCUACGGGUCAAAUUGAUUCGAAUGGUCUAAAGAUAAAUCGUACCGAUUUUCAUACAAGGAGAAAAAAAUCUAGUGUUCUUUACCAGAAUAUUGUAACCCACUUACCUAGUAUCGUAGUAAAUAAUCUUUGUGUAAUAUACAAACCCUAUCUGUAGCCAUCAUUAUAGGACAGGGUAGAGUUUAUCAGAUAUUUCAUUAGUGUUCAAUAUCAUUAUUGCGGACUUGAAACCCCGUAGUUUUAAGAACACCAGAUUUUUUAUUAGUUUUAAGUAUAAUUUUAGCUGACUGAAAUAAUCAACAAUUUCUGUUUACUAUAUACAGUAUUGGAGAAUACCAGAUUUAUGUUUGUGUUAAAAAUAAUUGUUGUGGCAUGAAAUAAACAGUAUGUUCUGUUUACUAUAUAUAUCGUAGAGUUUAACCCUUUAUAAGGCAGAGACGAUUUGGAAACCACUUAGUUAAUAAACAUUUACGGAGAAGAACAUCCUCUUUUUUAUUUAACUAUAAUGGUAUUAUAUAGCGAGUACAUCAGGCUUUCUUUCCUCAUUCAUACUUUUUCGGUCAGUAUUUAAUUUUAGUGUAAUUAAUUAAUUUAUAGUAUGUGGUCAACUUAUGCACUAUGCCUGUCAAGGGAAGCAAGCUAUCGUCAUUGUUUCCAUUAUACUAUUAAAAAUAUACACGUCGCUGUAUCUAAUAAUUUGAAUUAUAGCUCUUGCAAUUCACGAUGGCGAGUGGCGAGACUCUUAUUGGUAUGAUGACAAGGUCUAAUUUUGAUAAAUCCACUCUCCAUCGUGAAUUGCAAUAACUGUACUACAUUAUAAUUUUUUCAGUGAUAUUCGUAUAUUAAUCCUACCCACUACAAGAUACACAAUAAUGUUCGAUUUACCGUAUGUAGUCAAUUAAACGCCAGUCUGUACAGAGCACGUUAUGUUUGUUAUGUCAAUGUCAAUGAAUAGGUGUAUUGGAAACAGAUCAUCUGCAAACUCAAGUGCACUAACAGGCUGAGUGCAUAUAUUGACCACAUGUUUUUCUUAAUGAUUUCGUUUUUUUUUUGCCGUAGAUGUGUUCUCCAGUGCAUUACAAACAUGGUAGUGUAUUUAACUUUCACGUAGCAUAUCUGUAUAACUGGGGCCUUAUAAAGGGUUAACGGGUUUUAUAUUUGUGUUCAGUAAAUCAUUAUU